CAGCUGUUAGCUUUGCAACCGCUGGCAUGGGAUUUGAGUCACAAGCCUACACUGUACUUUGGAGCUCCCUUCUGCCCUCGGAAGUCCUGCAAAGGGCUGUGCUUCCUUGUACGACGACGAAGAGAAAAGGUCCCCAGCAGUCUCUUACAGACAGGAACAACAGAGAGCGAGUAUUUCCAGACAAGUGAGGAAAUUCCCAGAAGCUAGCGGCCAGGGAGCGUGAAUCCUGGAGAACAGGCUUGAGAUGAAGAAAGGAUUCCACAUCUCCUACGAAGCUGCUGAUUUUCCUUCCUCCCUCAGCAGCGACCCUCCGAACUUCCCACUCACAGGUGUGCACAGGGUCAUUCUCCAUCCCCAGCCACCUGAGCCUAUAGGAGCCGAACUUCCAGACCCAGCUCAGGAUGGAGCCUGUUGGGAUUGGACAGCUCUAGGGGGUGCCAUUCCUAGCACAGUCCGCAAGGACCCUAGGGUUGUGCAGUCCACACUGAGUUCUGGGAAGGCCUCAUCUGCUUUGUUUAACUCCUGGCUCAGAGCCCUAUCAAAAUACCAAUCUUAUCAUGCUGAUUAAUAACGAUCCAUUGACCUUUUGGAGUGAGCAGCUUUGACCUCCCAGCCCAGCAGGACCCUGAGGGAGAGUAAGGGCUCUUGCAGAAGAGACAGCCCCUGGGGAAGCCCAGCAGCUCAUCCCGCCCCCGCCCUCAGGAAUAGUCCAAGUCACCAGCUCCUGGGGACCGAGUCGGCUGGCCCCACAGCUCUCUCUGGUGUCACUUGCUUCAUUAUCCUCUCGUGGCAGGGUGUUCCAGAAUAUAAAGGUGACACUGUAAUUGCAUUCAUCCAGCAGAGUCGGAUCCAUUGAAAAUAGCGAGAGGGCUGACAAGUUUUGGCAGCUGCAGGCUCACAGAUCACGAAGUGAGGAGGACAAAGACCUAGUUUUAGGAUUUUGACCUAAUGGCUUGAUAGUGUUUUCUGAGGUAGGCCGGGUGUCUCAAAACUCCUUCUGUUUCAUGACCUUUGCUGGGCCAGGGGCUUCUGGUGCUCCUGUCCUCUGCCCAGGGAGGUCCCCUACUCAGCUAGUCCAGGGAGGGCCCCUCUCCUGUCUGCGGAACCUCUGUGCACUCUGUCCCCCUUCAUUCUUUUCCACCUUCCUCCCUCUCAUGAUUGUCACCCCAUCUCCCCAUCUUCAUCUUUCCUCAGCCUCCAGUGGGGUUAUUAAUCCCCUUCUGGUGGCACUCAACCUGCCACGAUGCUGCCUCCCAGCUGACACCACCAAUGACAGCAAUGACAACCGCUACAGGAAUUGCUUUCCAGGGUUCCAAGAAGGUUUCAGCUGCACGACGCCCUUCACUCCUCACAAUAGACACGGGAAAAUGGGUAGAUUCUAGGUUAUUUUUCUAAAGAUGCAUGUAUUAGGUUAUGGUAUACAUUUGGCUGUUUUGAGACAUCACAUAUUUGAAAAAAAGAUUUUUGCUGUUGUUGACCAAUAUACAAUAAAGCUUUUUAGGGGGUUAUAUAAUCUACACUACUUCUUUACCAUCAGAAAACCUGGGAGUCGAAUGUGAAUAUAAUAACACCAUUUACUUUCAUUUUCUCUCUACCGC
rnacentral:lncRNA from 1 species